GAUGAACGCUGGCGGCGUGCUUAACACAUGCAAGUCGAAGGGAGUGGCGAACGGGUGAGUAAUACGUGAGUAACCUCUUCUUUUCUUUGGGUUAAGCUUCCGAAAGGGUGUUUAAUACCUUAUGGUUAUGGGUGGGCUCGCGGUUUAUCAGCUUGUUGGUGGGGUAAUGGCUUACCAAGGCAUUGAUGGGUAGCCGGCCUGAGAGGUUGGCCGGUCACAUUGGGACUGAGAUACGGCCCAGACUCCUGCGGGAGGCAGCAGUGGGGGAUAGUGAACAAUGGGCGCAAGCCUGAUGCAGCCAUGCCGCGUGUGUGAAGAAGGCCUUCGGGUUGUAAAGCACUUUCAGGGGAGGAACGUUACUCGCAGAAGAAGCACCGGCUAACUCCGUGCCAGCAGCCGCGGUAAUUC
rnacentral:rRNA from 1 species